GAUGAACGCUGGCGGCGUGCCUAAUACAUGCAAGUCGAGCGAACAGACGAGGAGCUUGCUCCUCUGACGUUAGCGGCGGACGGGUGAGUAACACGUGGAUAACCUACCUAUAAGACUGGGAUAACUUCGGGAAACCGGAGCUAAUACCGGAUAAUAUAUUGAACCGCAUGGUUCAAUAGUGAAAGACGGUUUUGCUGUCACUUAUAGAUGGAUCCGCGCCGCAUUAGCUAGUUGGUAAGGUAACGGCUUACCAAGGCAACGAUGCGUAGCCGACCUGAGAGGGUGAUCGGCCACACUGGAACUGAGACACGGUCCAGACUCCUACGGGAGGCAGCAGUAGGGAAUCUUCCGCAAAGGGCGAAAGCUUGACGGAGCGACGCCGCGUGAGUGAUGAAGGUCUUCGGAUCGUAAAACUCUGUUAUUAGGGAGGAACAAAUGUGUAAGUAACUAUGCACGUCUUGACGGUACCUAAUCAGAAAGCCACGGCUAACUACGUG
rnacentral:rRNA from 1 species